GGAAUUCCCCCUUUCCCCAUGAGC
rnacentral:misc_RNA from 1 species